rnacentral:rRNA from 1 species
GAACGCUGGCAGUAUGCUUAACACAUGCAAGUCGUACGCAUCUUUUCAGCAAUGAAAAAAUGAGUGGCGGACGGGUGAGUAACACGUAAGAAUCUUCCGGAAGGAGAGGUAUAACCUUUGGAAACGAUGGGUAAUCCCUUAUAUGACGCUAGUUGAAAUGGCGCUUCAAUUUAUUGAUGCGUCGCCUUUUGAUGAGCUUGCGUCUGAUUAGCUAGUUGGUGAGGUAAAGGCUCACCAAGGCGACGAUCAGUAGCUGGUUUGAGAGAAUGAUCAGCCACACUGGGACUGAGACACGGCCCAGACUCCUACGGGAGGCAGCAGUGAGGAAUUUUUCGCAAUGGGCGCAAGCCUGACGGAGCAAUACUGCGUGGAGGAUGAAGGCUCGUGGGCUGUAAACUCCUUUUCCUCGAGAAGAAGUUCUGACGGUAUCGGGGGAAUAAGCAUCAGCUAACUGCGUGCCAGCAGCUGCGGUAAUACGUGGGAUGCAAGCGUUAUCCGGAUUUAUUGGGCGUAAAGCGUCUGUAGGUGGCUUCCAAGUUUGUUGGUAAAUCAUUCAGCUUAACUGAAUUCAAGCAGCAAAAACUAUGAAGCUUGAGUGCCGUAGAGGAAGAAGGAAUUCCUGUGGAGCGGUGAAAUGCCUAGAGAUAGGGAAGACACCACGGCGAAAGCACUCUUCUGGCCUGCACUGACACUAAGAGACGAAGCUAGGGGAGCGAGUAGGAUUAGAUACCUAUUAGUCCUAGCCUAACGAUGGAACUACAUUUGGGGCUCUAUGGCUUUGGC